rnacentral:rRNA from 1 species
GAGUUUGAUCCUGGCUCAGGAUGAACGCCGGCGGUGUGCCUAAUACAUGCAAGUCGUACGCACUGGCCCAACUGAUUGAUGGUGCUUGCACCUGAUUGACGAUGGAUCACCAGUGAGUGGCGGACGGGUGAGUAACACGUAGGUAACCUGCCCCAGAGCGGGGGAUAACAUUUGGAAACAGAUGCUAAUACCGCAUAACAACAAAAGCCACAUGGCUUUUGUUUGAAAGAUGGCUUUGGCUAUCACUCUGGGAUGGACCUGCGGUGCAUUAGCUAGUUGGUAAGGUAACGGCUUACCAAGGCGAUGAUGCAUAGCCGAGUUGAGAGACUGAUCGGCCACAAUGGAACUGAGACACGGUCCAUACUCCUACGGGAGGCAGCAGUAGGGAAUCUUCCACAAUGGGCGCAAGCCUGAUGGAGCAACACCGCGUGAGUGAAGAAGGGUUUCGGCUCGUAAAGCUCUGUUGUUGGAGAAGAACGUGCGUGAGAGUAACUGUUCACGCAGUGACGGUAUCCAACCAGAAAGUCACGGCUAACUACGUGCCAGCAGCCGCGGUAAUACGUAGGUGGCAAGCGUUAUCCGGAUUUAUUGGGCGUAAAGCGAGCGCAGGCGGUUGCUUAGGUCUGAUGUGAAAGCCUUCG